rnacentral:rRNA from 1 species
GAAUUCAACUCCUACGGGAGGCAGCAGUGGGGAAUAUUGCACAAUGGGCGCAAGCCUGAUGCAGCGACGCCGCGUGGGGGAUGAAGGCCUUCGGGUUGUAAACUCCUUUCGCUAGGGAAGAAGCCUUUUUGGUGACGGUACCUGGAUAAGAAGCACCGGCUAACUACGUGCCAGCAGCCGCGGUAAUACGUAGGGUGCGAGCGUUGUCCGGAAUUACUGGGCGUAAAGAGCUCGUAGGUGGUUUGUCGCGUCGUCUGUGAAAUCCCGGGGCUUAACUUCGGGCGUGCAGGCGAUACGGGCAUAACUAGAGUGCUGUAGGGGAGACUGGAAUUCCUGGUGUAGCGGUGAAAUGCGCAGAUAUCAGGAGGAACACCGAUGGCGAAGGCAGGUCUCUGGGCAGUUACUGACGCUGAGGAGCGAAAGCAUGGGUAGCGAACAGGAUUAGAAACCCGUGUAGUCCAGGCGUU